rnacentral:lncRNA from 1 species
UCGAAUCACAAUAUUAAUAAAUAAUUUGGACACAAAUCAAGCGAAAAAAUAAAUUGUGGACACAUGAAGUCAUGUCCACCGAGAUCUCCCGCAAUGAAAUAGUACUAAUGAGUACAAAGUAAUUUCAUAAAUUUGUACCAUAGCAUGGGUCUCCCGUGGAUAUGUUCAGUGGUAGCACUAAGUGAAGAAUGCAUAACAAAAACUAUAGGAGAGAUCAGCAAAGGUUAAGCAAUAAAAAUUCACGCUUUUUCUCAUGAUUGCACUUCACAUGUUCACAUUUUUCACCAGCAUUUUUAAGUGUCGUCUAAACCUUUGACAUUUCCUUCUUAUAUAAAUGAUCUUGAACCCUCUGGAAACUUGUGAGAUAUGAACACAUCUCUCGAAAGCCAUCGACCGCUUCAGAACAAUUCCUGGAAUCCUCUCACACCGUGCAUAAAACUUGGCCUUCGGUCCCAAUAAUAAUAUUUUCAGGAUCCUUCUUCAAUCGCCAUCAACAUUGUUUUCCUUGACGGUCAGCUAUCAACUUACGGUUGCGAACAUACUAGCUUUGGCAAAAUGUGUACGAGCUACUAAAGAAACUAAAGAUCGUUGGGGAACAACAUCGGGCAGUACCUUUGUUGUCUUUCAACUUCAUGGUUUCUUGAUUCUGACCUUGCGAUUUAUUUAAUUUUUUGCAGGGUGCAGGGCGACUGCCAUUGUUGGGAGGCCGGGCUUCAUUCCCUCAAGUAGUCGUGUCCACUGCCACACAGGACGGUGAGCAGGGGAGGAGAGAGAGACAGACCUGGCAGCAAGCACUAUAAGAUGAUGAAUACAACGGACCAUCUACUUAUAAGUUCAGAAAAAAUAUAAGCACAUCAGACUAUGUACGUCACAGCGUGAAGCUAAGGAAAAUCAAAGUGGACACUUAGCUACAACAGUUUCCUUACAUGCAUGAACGCAAACACAUCCCGGGCAAAGAAAUGUUGGGAAGAUCUCAAUCAAAAGAGAAGCACUAGUAGAUGUUGUGUUUCAAUGCACUGCUACAUCUUGUUUUUUCCCUUUUUCUUUUCCUAUUUUAUUGCCAAUUAUAAAGUGCUUAUAGCAAAAUUAUAAAUUUUCCCCACUCCAUGAUAAAAGUGCUUGGGAUGGAGGUAUUUUGCACAAUAAAUAUUGGGCAAAUAAUAGAACUCGAACAAAGAAAAAUUAAACAAAAGGGAAACACGACUACACAACAGUUCUAUCUUCAGCUAGCCAUUUCAUCAAACAUGUCUUUUACACCGUUUGGUUUGGCGCAAGAAACUGAGGGAAGGAGGCGGGCAAGAGCAGAUUGGGAAGGGAGGUGGCGGGACUGCGCCAGCAAUAGCUGCUGCUCCUUGUGUGUCACUGUGAAGCUGGAAAUCUUUGGAGAGUAUAUUUCUGAAUAUCAACAUCUGAAUUUUUUCCCAGCAAGACUCACAGGAUAUACUAAUUUACACCAAUGUUCUUAAUUGGACGCUGCCUGUACCCAAAUUUGGACUACAGUGAGCCACAUUGAGCACCCAGGAUCUUGACUGAAGUUUGCAAGUUGUAGGCACUGGCACGGUAGCUACGGAGGCAGAUCAAGGACGCAGCGACAGAAGAAUUCUCAAAGUAAUAUCUAAUGGUAGGAUUUAAAUUUUUGUGCAUGGAGCCAAUUGAGAAAUAAACACAAACAGUUUGUACAGCACAAACAUGCCACUGUCAUGCAAAAAAUGUCACCACGAUGGGGACUGAAAUUAGACAAUCCAAAAGAAGGAGAGGCAGAAUCGUUGCAUUAUCAGAAGUAAUGAGUGGCUACUGGAAUCAACAAGUAGAAGGUUCAAAAGCUCACGGCCAUGGCUUCAAAGGAACUCCCAGUCCCCCAAAACGAUCUCCGUUCUCUAAUAAAGUUGUUGACUUGAUUUCGUUGUUCAGCUGGUAGAUGUGUGGUUAGUGCUCAAUUUAAAUAAAAAAUAGUACUAAUUUUGUAUGCGUGGAGAAAUACACACAUACACGUCUCUAUAUCCUGAUAGGAGCAUUUGAACAAACACGUAGUAAUCAUUAGCACAUCACAAACUUGAUGGAUCCAAAAUUGCAUGUGGACUGCAAAGGCAAAAACGGCUGCAACUAGAUCCGACCACGAGCCAACAACACUAAUAGAGCGUUAGUGGCACAAAUGGGACACACACCAACAGUGCCAGCAAUGGGAGCCAUGCCUAUGAAGUUCUCUAGUGAUGGUAUAUACACGGUUAUAGUCCACAGACGAAUCUUCAGAAAAUCAACACACUGAACUUCUAGAGGACUAGAGGCUGACCUUUUCUUCUUCCGAGCAGUGGGUUUGCAGCUCGUGAAUUGUUUGCUAGGAGGUUGGUGCCAGCUGCUCGGGGUGGUUAGCAGAGACGGCAAGCACGAUGGAUUGCGAGGGCGG